UUUCCAUGCCCUUAGUCUCCUUGGAGGGGCUUCAGCAAAGGCUGACUGGAGGGAGCUGGACCUGUUUCCUUCUUCCUCUGGCACAAUGCAGUCUUGACACAUCUGGUCAGUCUCACCUUUGAUCUCCCUUAAAAGCUCUUCAUUAGAAAGCAUGUCUCAGUCAUGGCCCGCACCUUCACCUCUCCUGAGCACAUGACCCAUUGUGUCUCCUUUCUCAUUUAACUCUGUGCAAGACUGAGUUAGCAAGGGCUUGGAAGCUCAGCAACCACUUACUGGGCUUCAGCUGCUCAGUGUGCUUGGCCACUCUUGCUUUAGGCAAGAGAAUUAGAGUGUUUGAAGUGAAAACAAAGAGAAAAUGGAAAAUGGAUGGGAGUAUAUCACAAGUAGAUGGAAUUUAGAUGAGAGAGUAGAAGUGGGGAAGCAAAGGAAGAAGACAUGAGACUAACCAAGCAAAUAUUAUUGAGGUACUAGAAGAAGAAAUUGUGCUUGUUGGUAUUAAACCUGUAUUAUCAGCCUGUCAGAGUUAGUGGGGGUUGUGCCUACCUUGUCAUCUCAGCUGAGCUGAGCUGACCUCCUGGUGUGCCUGGAGGAGCCAUCAAAGCAACCUUUUGCCAGGCAGAAAGGGGGUAGCUGAGCAUCCUACAGGCUGCAAACAGGCACUCCCCAGGCAGCCCCAGCAAGCGAUCAGGGCUCAGAUCCUUGGGCCUGGAUCCAAGGAGCCAUAGCACAAAAGUCUCAUGCAUGGUACAUACUUACAGGAUGGGACUGGCAGGAGCCUCCAGAGCACUAUUGUAAUAGCAGCAGAGAGUUAGAGGGGCUGAGAAGAAGGAAGAAAGAAGCAAAGGUUUGGAAAUGGAAGAGAGAAACUGGAAUAAAUGUUGAUAAUAUUAAAAGCUCAGUCCAGAUGUUGUCAACACAAUUGUUAGCAUAUGACUGGAGGCAUCUUUCAACUAGAAAACAACUGUAUGCGCUUUGGUUGUUUCUAAAAUAUAUAUCUAGGGCUACUUCAGUGGUGGCACAGGAAACUAGCCAUCUGCUUUUUUUAAACUGUGCCAGUAACAGCACCAAAACCUCUUUUUCUAACAUUGCAGUAUUUAACUUGACAUCACUUCUCACGCACACGACAGCAGGAUCAAAAGGUACAUGCAAUUAUGUAGGUAGGUAUUUUCUGCAUUGUAUAAAUCUGCCUAAUGCCUCCUUUUUCCUCCCCUGUGUAUUCACAAGCACCUAGACAUAUGUCAAAUAGUUUUAAAAUGUUGCUGGCAAUUAGAAGGGCAGUGCUCUCACCUGUGAUAAAGCCAUAAUUAAGGAAUUCCUAAAAUUCCUAAAAUUCUCAGUUGGAAUCACGAGCACAUUUUAUUCUAUUUAUUUAUAUUUUAUGAUAAUGCAACACAACAAAGUUGGCCUUUUUUUGCCCUCACAUCCUUUUUUUUUUUAAUUUCCAAGUAAUAUUGCCUAUAUUCCACGGUUCUUAGCACAUGGUCAGAUGAGGGUACACUCUCCUAAUGACUAGUAGUUAUUUUCUAAUAAUACUAGUAUUUCCAUAACCAAGAUGGAUGUUUCUAAGGCAAUUACGGCAUGAGUGCUUGCAGCUGUGUUCAAAACAUACUACAGCCAAAGACUGUCAGGUGUGUAUGUUACACACCCAAAAUUAAGUUCCAGACCAUGUUGGGGCUGCAUUUUAAGAGCUUAUUUUAGCUCUUAGGCCUCUCCAUGAAAAUCAAAAUUCUUGAUGUUGCAGGAUUAGUCAAUGGCAAAACCCAGCUGGAAGAUGACUUUGUCUCCCACUGAAACUGUGGGUGGAGAUCUGGGUUCAUAUCCUGACUCUUAACUAUGCUCAGUUCCUGGCCAAAACAAAAUGGGUUGGGAUUGUGCCUCCGAACCUGUUUAAAUAACCCUUUAAUAAAGGUUCUGGUUUUCUCAUUAUAGACACAAAUUUCAGAUCUGAGGUUCUGGUGUCUCCAUAGUUCUUUCCUAGGCUCUGUGUGUUUAUAUUAGUUCAUGGCUCUAGUCCUGAAGAGUGUGUAAUUUCAUCCUCACAUCUCAAAAGGUUAAGCUCUUCUUAUUAGUAAUAAAGGGUCACAUCACGUGGCUUAAAAAAAUAGUAACAUACAUCUGAAUUUCCUACCCAUGUGAGCAGUGGGAAAAGGAACAGGAGUGGGAAGUAGUCAUCACAUCAUAUACUUAACUAAUCUAAAUCUGGAUUCUUAAAUUAGGUUCCUCCACCAAGUGGAGGCAGGAGGAGUAAUCUCGUUCCCUGUUAGGAAAGCCAAGAGAGAUUAAGCUCCUAAUUUAUUUAGCAAAAUAUUCGAUUUUAUUUUAUUAUGUAUUGACUACCUUAAGGUGUUGUGGAUAUCUCACCUUCUUCCCAGCCUCUCAACUUAAGCUGCUAACUUAAUCGAUCCCACUGAAUUUUCAGAAAUACACCAGAACAUCUUCACUUGGUCUCAAGACCAACAAGAAACAACAAAGAAGCCUGUACAAAAAUGAGAAGGAAAGACUUUCAGAAAAAAAAAAAAAUCCUGAGCUGAAGAGGAGGAGCUGCAGAUGUGUGUCACAGCCACAACAGCACCCGCUGCAUUUGGAGCAAAAGUCUCAGUCCACAUGAAGUAGGAGAGCUUAAUGAGCAAAACUGGCCAGGUAGUCAAUAAACAUUUGGGCUGAAGGACAGAAGAAGGUCAUAUUUUGAAGACCUAACUACAGACAAUUGGAUCGUGACAGAGGUAACACAUUUAUGCAAGGCAAAGGCAUGACUCCAGCAGAGCCAGGUAGGCAGGAGCUUUAAUGGGAGGGCCACCAAGCCCAAGGACCUUGCAAGCAGGUGUCCAGCAUUCCCUGAGGGGCUGUAAGGGCCCCGCUGCUGCAACAGCCUCCCUGCCCUUGGCUUCAGCAGCCCAAAGGUUACAGAAACCUGUAAUCUGAAUCUAGCUAGAUGAAAGCCACUGCAGGUAUGCCUGGCCAUGCCACCAUGGCAACUUUGAUUGCAGUAUAGGUAUCUUGGAAAACAGAAGAUCUUGAGAACUGAGGUCAUGAUGUGAUUAUAAGAAUUACAGGCUUUCCUAAAAGCACUGAGGAAAACAAAAACACAAACAAACUGAAAAGCCCAUUGAUUCUUCUAUUUUAAUCCUGAUGACCAGCUACAUCAGAAUGAUCUGCCAGGAGCCAUCACAGCUGAAUCCACAACAAAGGAAACACCCUGUGGAUUGGCAGCACACAUCAGAAAACUUCCCAGAGGAGAGAAGAGGCAAGGAAUGUAGAACUAGCCUUGUCACUUCUCCUUUAGCAAAUGACUAGCUCUCAAAAACCCUCAUUAAUUUUAUGUCUUUAAAAUGUGAUUUCCAUUUGCUCCCUAAGGUUUAAAAACAGUGAAAAGAUUUCAGCAAUUGAUGACACUGUUGGUUGUACUAAAUUAGAGCAUAGAAGAAUUAGAAGUUGCUGCUGUUGCUUUCAUGUAGUGAUGGACUCUUCCUUUCUUUUUGUUCUUGCACCAGGAGGCUGUUCCUUGCUACCACCCUCCCAGCCAGCAGCCACAUGCCAGAGAGGCACAUCACCUGCCAGUGCUGCUCAGUGGUCAGAGAAGUUUUCAGCUCAUUACAAGAUGAAUUGUCACCAACCACUGAAGAUAGAUUGUAUCAAAGCUCUUCAGAAAAAUUAAAAUAAAUGGCAACUGCUGUUUGUUGUGCAUUUAAUGAACUCCUGGUGUUUAGAAGGACAUUCGAAGAGGAACCGUGCACACUUAGGAACACCUGCCUGUAACAGGUUGAAGGUUUCAGCCCAAGUAGGGGUGAGUAACCCAGAGAUGGAGGAACAAAGAGAGGAGGUGGCUCCACUCUCUGGAAGUGUAAGAGGGCUUCACCUAUGGAAGUACCUGCUGCUUGCACAGAAAAGCCCAAACUGUCUCCACAGUAUGAGGGGUGCAAGAGCCAUGUUUGCUUCUCAGCUAUGACCCUGGGAGGUUUCACACACACACACAAACAUUCAGCACAAGCAGGGAUGACUGCUGGCAGUCAGCAAGCCCCACAAGCCUCUUGAUAUUUGGGGGUCUGGUCUUUAAUCUCUGCAGCCCGGGGAAGGCUUCAAAGCCAGACCUCCCACUCUCUGCCCUAACACACAGCCACCAGGCCCUCUGCAAGAGGUGGGGUGCUGCUAUUUUCUCAAAAGAGCUGAUUGCCAUUGUGUUUUGAAGGGAUCCCAAUCCCUACCAGAAAACAUUAGUGGUGACCGCAUGAUGACCUGGGGCAUCAUGAUGACCUGGGAAAAAGUCUGGUUGCCCGUGGAGCUUUAUGGUGAAAAUUAAGAUGGCCCAAAGAGCUAGGAGCAUGUGGGAUUGUGUGAUGGGCUUUGGGGAUCACAAUUUUGGAUGAAGGUGCCUAAGGUCUCCCUAAGACCUUCUUCUGGUACUAAGUCCUGAAUAGGAGCUAACUCAUGCAAAUAUUUCCAUUUCCUGAUUGAAUUAUUGCAAACAGUAAUACUGUUACUGAAGGAAAGAGGCCCUGCUAAAGAACUGGGACCUUUAAUAACUGGGUUUUAUACAAAUAAGGAGCAAGCAGUCACAAUCUAGAGAUUGUCCUAACUCCUGAAACCAAGAAUAAAGCUUGAAAAAUGUCUUCAGGGCUUUCGAUACUCCAAGGAGAGUCAGCAGUUCAUGGAGAGAUUGCAAAAAACCACAGGAUUUGUGAACUUGAAAAUGUCACACAUAUUUCUGUUGAAGCUAUUUCUUGUUGCUGUUGUUAAUGUGUUACUGUAACACCUGCUGGCCCUGAUUAGGAUUCCUCCAGGAUGGUAUAAUCACAGAGCAAAAUGUGGAUACAAAGAAAUUGCAACUCAUGAUCUGCAGCAUAUAAAAGGGGAAUAAUGAUAGGCUCAACCAGAUAUAUGCUGGUUUAGCCAUACGAAUGACCUGUAUGGAUGCAUUUGGGCCUUCAUUUGCUCUUUUAACUCCAUAAACAUCAGUGCUCCCUUGUAACGCUGGGCCCGGGCACUAUAGGUUGGCUGCUUUUAUAGUGUCAUUGAAUUAGAUCUCAAAUAGGAGUUUGCAAUAGAAGAAAAUAACAGCUUAAGCUUAAGCUACUGUAAGCUGGGCCAACUGAGGGACAAAUUUACAUUUAGAUUGAGCCUCUUCAUGUCUUCUUUAGGUAAUUGUAAACUCUCUGGUGUCUCAGCCCUAGAAAAGAAUUUAGGCAGCCCUACACUGCCAAAAACUGUGCCUUGUGCUUUGUGAGAUGUGUGAUAGCUAAUCUAAGUAGUCAUGCUUAGCAUUGACUGUUCAUAAUUAUUUGUGCAAAUGCGACUCAGUUAUCAAAUGUCUGCAAUAAUCAGACAAAGGACAUUAGCAUUGCCAAAAUAAAUUUGUUGUAAAAGUG